rnacentral:rRNA from 1 species
UACGUAGGGGGCAAGCGUUGUCCGGAUUUAUUGGGCGUAAAGAGCGUGUAGGCGGCCAGACAGGUCAGCUGUGAAAACUCGAGGCUCAACCUCGAGACGUCGGUUGAAACCGUCUGGCUAGAGUCCGGAAGAGGAGAGUGGAAUUCCCGGUGUAGCGGUGAAAUGCGCAGAUAUCUGGAGGAAUACCGGUGGCGAAGGCGGCAUCCUGGACCGACAUUGACGCUGAUGAGCGAAAGCCAGGGGAGCAAACGGG